GCUAAUACCGCAUAUUCUGUGAGCAGGAAAGCAGGGGAUCGCAAGACCUUGCGCUGAUUGAGCGGCCGAUAUCAGAUUAGCUUGUUGGUGAGGUAAAAGCUCACCAAGGCGACGAUCUGUAGCGGGUCUGAGAGGAUGAUCCGCCACACUGGAACUGAGACACGGUCCAGACUCCUACGGGAGGCAGCAGUGGGGAAUUUUGGACAAUGGGGGCAACCCUGAUCCAGCCAUGCCGCGUGAGUGAAGAAGGCCUUCGGGUUGUAAAGCUCUUUCAGCCGGGAAGAAAACGCAUGGGUUAAUACCCUGUGUGGAUGACGGUACCGGAAUAAGAAGCACCGGCUAACUACGUGCCAGCAGCCGCGGUAAUACGUAGGGUGCGAGCGUUAAUCGGAAUUACUGGGCGUAAAGCGUGCGCAGGCGGUUUUGUAAGACAGGCGUGAAAUCCCCGGGCUUAACCUGGGAACUGCGUUUGUGACUGCAAGGCUAGAGUACGGCAGAGGGGGGUGGAAUUCCACGUGUAGCAGUGAAAUGCGUAGAGAUGUGGAGGAACACCAAUGGCGAAGGCAGCCCCCUGGGUCGAUACUGACGCUCAUGCACGAAAGCGUGGGUAGCAAACAGGAUUAGAUACCCUGGUAGUCCACGCCCUAAACGAUGUCAACUAGGUGUUGGGAGGGUAAAACCUUUUAGUACCGGAGCUAACGCGUGAAGUUGACCGCCUGGGGAGUACGGCCGCAAGGUUAAAACUCAAAGGAAUUGACGGGGACCCGCACAAGCGGUGGAUGAUGUGGAUUAAUUCGAUGCAACGCGAAAAACCUUACCUACCCUUGACAUGCCAAGAACUUUCCAGAGAUGGAUAGGUGCCCGAAAGGGAACUUGGACACAGGUGCUGCAUGGCUGUCGUCAGCUCGUGUCGUGAGAUGUUGGGUUAAGUCCCGCAACGAGCGCAACCCUUGUCGUUAAUUGCCAUCAUUUAGUUGGGCACUUUAACGAGACUGCCGGUGACAAACCGGAGGAAGGUGGGGAUGACGUCAAGUCCUCAUGGCCCUUAUGGGUAGGGCUUCACACGUCAUACAAUGGUCGGUACAAAGGGUCGCCAAGCCGCGAGGUGGAGCCAAUCCCAGAAAGCCGAUCGUAGUCCGGAUCGCAGUCUGCAACUCGACUGCGUGAAGUCGGAAUCGCUAGUAAUCGUGGAUCAGAAUGUCACGGUGAAUACGUUCCCGGGUCUUGUACACACCGCCCGUCACACCAUGGGAGCGGGUUCCGCCAGAAGUAGGUAGCCUAACCGCAAGGAGGGCGCUUACCACGGCGGGGUUCGUGACUGGGGUGAAGUCGUAACAAGGUA
rnacentral:rRNA from 1 species